rnacentral:rRNA from 1 species
UACGGGGGGGGCAAGCGUUGUUCGGAAUUACUGGGCGUAAAGGGCUCGUAGGCGGCCAACUAAGUCAGACGUGAAAUCCCUCGGCUUAACCGGGGAACUGCGUCUGAUACUGGGCGGCUAGAGUCUGGUAGGGGGAUCUGGAAUUCCUGGUGUAGCGGUGGAAUGCGCAGAUAUCAGGAGGAACACCGGUGGCGAAGGCGGGAUCCUGGGCCAGUACUGACGCUGAGGAGCGAAAGCGUGGGAGCAACAGG